CUGCAGCUCAAGUGGUGACCGCUAUUAUUGGGCCUAAAACGUUCGUAACCGGUUUAGUAAAUGCUUGGGUAAAUUGUGUCGCUUAACGAUACGAAUACCGGGUAGACUGCUAAACUUGGGACCGGGAGAGGCUAGAGGUACUCCUGGGGUAGAGGUGAAAUUCUGUAAUCCUGGGGGGACCACCAGUGGCGAAGGCGUCUAGCUAGAACGGGUCUGACGGUGAGGGACGAAGCCCUGGGGCGCAAACAGGAUUAGAUACCCUGGUAGUC
rnacentral:rRNA from 1 species